rnacentral:lncRNA from 1 species
AGCAAAUAUAAUCUAUUAUUGCUUAUAUUUAGUAUGUAAAGUCUUGGCUAGUGUGAUUUGGAUGGCAAGCAUUCUAUGUCGUCUCAUUGAAAAAUGCAACACUUGCUUUUUUUUGUAUACAUAGUAACUAUAUUUCACCCUUGUCUAAUUGUACGUCUGUCCAUAAUGUCCAUAAAUUGAUUUUUAUUCUCAAACACUAUUUCG